rnacentral:lncRNA from 1 species
CGCGGUACCCCCGUGGCGGGGGAGCGCAGGAGGGCGGCGGGACCCUGCGGAGCCCCGAGGCCCCCACCGCAUCCUGCGGCUCAGAGCACUGGGGAUGGAGGGCGGGCUGGUCUUUAUCCCGCGGUCUCUGCAGCGUUACUGAAGGCAGCCCAGGGGAGGGACGGUCAUAGCCCAGAGGAUGGAUGGUGGUGGCCGAGGGAUGGCCACAGCUCGAGGGGUGACCACGCUACUGCCCCCCGCAGCCAGACCAGCCCGGACCCUCUUGGUAUCGCCUUCACCAAAGUUGGACCCAGAGCAAGGACAAGCCGAGUGCAAAGAAACCUCUUGGUUAGCAGAAGUAAGUACUGGAAGAGUAACUGGGAGCAGUCCUGGCAUUCCCUGCUGUAAGAGAAGUUCAACGUCCAGACAGGAAAGCGGAGGCCUGAAUUUAUUGUACCCUGGAGCUCUCCCCAUCGUUAUAAAACAUUUUUAUGUAGCUGCCUUCCUUCUCCAGGAAGAGUGAACGAUGUUGUCUUCCCAUCUGUUCUGCUUGGCAGAUAUUUCACUUUAAGUGGAAGCAUCAGCCCCUGUUACCCACGCUUUGCUCUGACCCGAGGGAUUUGUGCAAGUCCUGUGACUUGGAAAGGGUUGAGGUGCAAAAAGGAGCUGCCUGGUUCCUUCUGUGAGCUACCAGCUUUGAGGCCUGGCUCCUUGGUGACUUUAGUCCUGAUGGAAUGGUUGUAUUUCAG